GCGCUCGUAGCUCAGCUGGAUAGAGCACCAGACUACGAAUCUGGGGGUCAGGAGUUCGAAUCUCUUCGAGCGCGCCA
rnacentral:tRNA from 17 species